ACUCCUGUGAGAAUGCCCUAAUAGUUCCCCGCCCGGGAACAAGGAGCUGGUAUCAGGCACAACCCUAGUUAAGCCCACGACGCCUUGCUUAGCCACACCCUCAAGGGAACUCAGCAGUGAUAAACGUUAAGCCCUAAGUGAAAACUUGACUUAGUCAAAGCUAAGAGGGCCGGUAAAACUCGUGCCAGCCACCGCGGUUAUACGAGAGGCCCAAGUUGACAGACAGCGGCGUAAAGAGUGGUUAAGUUAAAAUUGUACUAAAGCCGAACACCCUCCAGGCUGUUAUACGCAUCCGAAGGUAAGAAGUUCAACCACGAAGGUGGCUUUAUUUAAUCUGAACCCACGAAAGCUACGACACAAACUGGGAUUAGAUACCCCACUAUGCCUAGCCCUAAACAUUGAUAGUAUUAUACACCCACUAUCCGCCUGGGAACUACGAGCAUUAGCUUAAAACCCAAAGGACUUGGCGGUGCUUUAGAUCCACCUAGAGGAGCCUGUUCUAGAACCGAUAACCCCCGUUCAACCUCACCUUUCCUUGUUUUUCCCGCCUAUAUACCGCCGUCGUCAGCUUACCCUGUGAAGGCUAAAUAGUAAGCAAAACUGGUAGAACCCAAAACGUCAGGUCGAGGUGUAGCGUAUGGGAAGGGAAGAAAUGGGCUACAUUCGCUAGCAUAGCGAAUACGGACGAUGCACUGAAACGUUCAUCUGAAGGAGGAUUUAGCAGUAAGCAGGAAAUAGAGUGUUCCGCUGAAAUUGGCCCUGAAGCGCGCACACACCGCCCGUCACUCUCCCCAAGCCUACCAACCUAAUUAAUUAAACCACAAUAAUCGCAAAGGGGAGGCAAGUCGUAACAUGGUAAGUGUACCGG
rnacentral:ncRNA from 1 species